UGAGGAGGCCGUGUCCUGGGAGUGUCCCCACCAUGGCCUGGAUGGCGCUUCUGCUCGGGCUCCUCACUUAUGGCUUAGGGGUGGAUUCUCAGACUGUGGUCCAGGAGCCAUCCGUGUCAGUGUCUUCAGGAGGGACGAUCAGCCUCACCUGUGGCCUUAGCUCUGGGUCAGUCACUACCGGUUACUACCCCAGCUGGUACCAGCAGACCCCAGGCCAGGCUCCCAAAACUGUUAUCUACCACACAAGCAGCCGCCCCUCUGGGGUCCCUGGUCGCUUCUCUGGAUCCAUCAUUGGGAACAAAGCCGCCCUCACCAUCAGGGGGGCCCAGCCUGAGGACGAGGCUGACUAUUACUGUAGUCUCUACGUGAGUAGUGGUAAUUACUAUUGCACAGUGAUAUAA